rnacentral:rRNA from 1 species
UGCANGUCGAACGAUGAAGCCCUUCGGGGUGGAUUAGUGGCGAACGGGUGAGUAACACGUGGGCAAUCUGCCCUUCACUCUGGGACAAGCCCUGGAAACGGGGUCUAAUACCGGAUAACACCGGCCUCUGCAUGGNGGCUGGUUAAAAGCUCCGGCGGUGAAGGAUGAGCCCGCGGCCUAUCAGCUUGUUGGUGAGGUAACGGCUCACCAAGGCGACGACGGGUAGCCGGCCUGAGAGGGCGACCGGCCACACUGGGACUGAGACACGGCCCAGACUCCUACGGGAGGCAGCAGUGGGGAAUAUUGCACAAUGGGCGAAAGCCUGAUGCAGCGACGCCGCGUGAGGGAUGACGGCCUUCGGGUUGUAAACCUCUUUCAGCAGGGAAGAAGCGAAAGUGACGGUACCUGCAGAAGAAGCGCCGGCUAACUACGUGCCAGCAGCCGCGGUAAUACGUAGGGCGCAAGCGUUGUCCGGAAUUAUUGGGCGUAAAGAGCUCGUAGGCGGCUUGUCACGUCGGGUGUGAAAGCCCGGGGCUUANCCCCGGGUCUGCAUCCGAUACGGGCAGGCUAGAGUGUGGUAGGGGAGAUCGGAAUUCCUGGUGUAGCGGUGAAUGCGCANAUAUCANGAGGAACACCGGUGGCGAAGCGGAUCUCUGGNCCUUNCUGACGCUGAGANCGAAGCGUGGGGAGCGA